rnacentral:rRNA from 1 species
UACGUAGGUGACAAGCGUUGUCCGGAUUUACUGGGCGUAAAGAGCGCGCAGGCGGUCGAUCAAGUCGAAUGUGAAAGCCCCCGGCUCAACUGGGGAGGGUCAUUCGAUACUGAUCGACUUGAAGGCAGGAGAGGGAAGUGGAAUUCCGGGUGUAGUGGUGAAAUGCGUAGAUAUCCGGAGGAACACCAGUGGCGAAGGCGACUUCCUGGCCUGUUCUUGACGCUGAGGCGCGAAAGCUGGGGGAGCAAACGGG